rnacentral:rRNA from 1 species
UUCCGGUUGAUCCUGCCGGAGGCUACCGCUAUUGGAGUUCGAUUAAGCCAUGCGAGUCGCGAGUCUUAGGGACUCGGCGUACCGCUCAGUAACACGUGGGUAACCUGCCCUAUGCUGGGGGAUAACCUCGGGAAACUGAGAAUAAUACCCCAUAGUUCACCACGCCUGGAACGGUGGGUGGAUCAAAGCUCCGGCGGCAUAGGAUGGGCCUGCGGCGUAUCAGGUUGUAGGGGGUGUAAUGUACCCUCUAGCCCUCUACGCGUACGGGUGUUGAGAGACAUCGCCCGGAGAUGGAUUCUGAGACACGAAUCCAGACCCCACGGGGUGCAGCAGGCGCGAAAACUUGGCAAUGCGAGAAAUCGUGACCAGGGAACUCCAAGUGCAUCGGGUAAGACCGAUGCUUUUCUUGACUCUUCAAAGGUCUUGGAAUAAGGGGUGGGUAAGGACGGUGCCAGCCGCCGCGGUAAUACCGGCGCCCCAAGUGGUAGUCGCUUUUAUUGGGCCUAAAACGUCCGUAGCCGGUCUGGUACAUUCGUGGGUAAAUCAACCAGCUCAACUGGUUGAAUUCUGCGAGCACGGCCAGACUUGGGACCGGGAGAGGUGUGGGGUACUCUCAGGGUAGGGGUAAAAUCCUGUCAUCCUGAGAGGACCACCUGUUGCGAAGGCGCCACACUAGAACGGAUCCGACGGUCAGGGACGAAGCCUAGGGGCACGAACCGGAUUAGAUACCCGGGUAGUCCUAGGUGUAAACGCUGUGGACUUGAUGUUGGGGGCGCUCCGAGCGCACUCAGUGUCGAAGCGAAGGUGAUAAGUCCACUGCCUGGGGAGUACGGUCGCAAGGCUGAAACUUAAAGGAAUUGGCGGGGGAGCACCGCAACCUGAGGAUUGUGCGGUUUAAUUGGAGUCAACGCCGG